CACAUGUAUGCUCAUGCCUGCUGUCGCCGCAGGGGAAUCCGGUGGGAAUCCGGAACUGUCCCGCAACGGUAUGAAGUGUCCGACAUCCGGACGCCAAGUCCGAUGACCUGCCGACAGCGCGCCCGGCUCG
rnacentral:ncRNA from 17 species